ACUAGUCUGAACAGGACAAUAAAUGGAUAAAUAGGGGCAACACAAAGCCACUGACUUUGAUUCAGCUCACUAUCCUGCCUUUGCUACUUCUUCUUACUAAUCUUUCACUAAAAAUGAAAAAGGAGAAUUACCUGUGCAAUCAGAUACUCUUUCUGUCCUUCUCUAGUGGCCUUCUUCUUUUUAUUCAGUGUGUAAGGCCUCCAGAUGCCCAUGGGUAGGAACAGUAUGACCAAGAAUUUUGUUGUAUAUGAGCUCUGGUAAGGGAAGAAACUGGGGGAAUUAAACCAGAUAGGCAGCAAGUCUGUACAGGCACUUGAGGCAUGGAGUUUCAAACCUCUCUCCUGCCUCAGGUAACAAGGCUGAAAAUAAGCAGAGAUUUAUCAGAAAUCCUGCCUGAAUCUGUUAUGCUUCUCCAGGAGAGUAUGGAGUAGUGGAGCAGUCUUCUCACCACUUAGCUGUCCUUCUUUACCUGGAAUAGAAUGUAGUUUAAAAAGUUGAUGGAUAAAGUCAACAUUCUUUUGUAUGACUUCUGCUUACUCUAAAAUCUAAGUAUCAAAGCAACACACUAAAAUCAACAGUCAUUAAAAAUCAAAAUGAUCUAUUCAAACAUAUUCUAGCCAAAACACUUAUCAUGAAAAGAAUAAUUAACACGUCAGCAUAAGCAAAUGAAGUUGUUUGUCCCUGAGAGUUGAUAAUUGUAAUUGAAUUUGACUUCUAUAACAUAUUCUGUGCAUCCAUCAUUACUCAGGCAUUAUGUCCCCUCAAAUCAAUCAAAAAUUAUCCUCCCAAUGAAAUUCAUUUUUUCCCAUUGGAUGAACAGCAGAGAUUUCAAACCUGGCCACUGUCCACAGCUAUGAUAGCAGAGCUAGUAAAUACUGUUAAGCAUAUUUCUCUUCGAUUCUACUGUUUUCAUAAGUAUUGUCUGAGUCCUUGUCUUACUCCUCUCUCCACCUCUCUGCCUACUUGUAGCAUCUUUUUAUCUUUUGCCAGCAAUUUACUGCAACUGACAGACUUGCUUGAGGAAAACAUUUUACAUUCACACUCAGGGGAAAACAAACAAACAAAACAAAACAAUAACAACAGCAACAGAAGGGGGUCCUUUAACAAAGGCCCCCUUGUAUCCUAAGGAUCCAUACUACCUACCUCUUUGCACCAUGAGGCAGCACUAAGCAACAGAACAGACAAUGUUUGGAGCAAAGCUGGACAGUUACCUGAGUAGAUGGUGUAUUGGCAAAGCUGCAGUUACUUCUGUAGAUUUCUAAAAAUGGCCUGUGGGUCACAGUCUGAUCACUGUAAAAGAAGGAUGACAAUGGGUAUGAAAACAAACAGAAGAUACUUUGCUAUGAAACCAUUCCUCAUCAUAAAGUUACCUGGAGUGAGGACUGUUUUCCAAGACACUCUGAAUGGCAGUAUACAACUGAAUGAAUGAAUCUUGGACAUCUUAAAGCCAAGAAAAAUAAAUAUAUAUAUAUAUAUAUAUACA
rnacentral:lncRNA from 1 species